rnacentral:rRNA from 1 species
AGCGAACGCUGGCGGCAGGCUUAACACAUGCAAGUCGAACGCCCCGCGAGGGGAGUGGCAGACGGGUGAGUAACACGUGGGAACGUACCCUUUGGUUCGGAAUAACUUGGGGAAACUCAAGCUAAUACCGGAUAAGCCCUUAUGGGGAAAGGUUUACUGCCGAAGGAUCGGCCCGCGUCUGAUUAGCUAGUUGGUGGGGUAAUGGCUCACCAAGGCGACGAUCAGUAGCUGGUCUGAGAGGAUGACCAGCCACACUGGGACUGAGACACGGCCCAGACUCCUACGGGAGGCAGCAGUGGGGAAUAUUGGACAAUGGGGGCAACCCUGAUCCAGCCAUGCCGCGUGAGUGAUGAAGGCCUUAGGGUUGUAAAGCUCUUUUACCCGGGACGAUAAUGACUGUACCGGGAGAAUAAGCCCCGGCUAACUUCGUGCCAGCAGCCGCGGUAA